rnacentral:rRNA from 1 species
ACGAACGCUGGCGGCGCGCCUAACACAUGCAAGUCGAACGGAGCUGAGAGAAGCUUGCUUUUCUUAGCUUCGUGGCGAACGGGUGAGUAACGCGUGAGUAACCUGCCCUGGAGUGGGGGACAACAGUUGGAAACGACUGCUAAUACCGCAUAAGCCCACGAUCCGGCAUCGGAUUGAGGGAAAAGGAUUUAUUCGCUUCAGGAUGGACUCGCGUCCAAUUAGCUAGUUGGUGAGGUAACGGCCCACCAAGGCGACGAUUGGUAGCCGGACUGAGAGGUUGAACGGCCACAUUGGGACUGAGACACGGCCCAGACUCCUACGGGAGGCAGCAGUGGGGGAUAUUGCACAAUGGGGGAAACCCUGAUGCAGCGACGCCGCGUGGAGGAAGAAGGUUUUCGGAUUGUAAACUCCUGUCGUUAGGGACGAUAAUGACGGUACCUAACAAGAAAGCACCGGCUAACUACGUG